GACGAACGCUGGCGGCGUGCUUAACACAUGCAAGUCGAACGAAAAGAGGGAAAGAGCUUGCUCUUUCCGGAAUUGAGUGGCAAACGGGUGAGUAACACGUAAACAACCUGCCUUCAGGAUGGGGACAACAGACGGAAACGACUGCUAAUACCGAAUAAGUUCCAAGGGCCGCAUGGCCCAUGGAAGAAAAGGUGGCCUCUACCUGUAAGCUAUCGCCUGAAGAGGGGUUUGCGUCUGAUUAGCUGGUUGGAGGGGUAACGGCCCACCAAGGCGACGAUCAGUAGCCGGUCUGAGAGGAUGAACGGCCACACUGGAACUGAGACACGGUCCAGACUCCUACGGGAGGCAGCAGUGGGGAAUCUUCCGCAAUGGGCGAAAGCCUGACGGAGCAACGCCGCGUGAGUGAUGACGGCCUUCGGGUUGUAAAACUCUGUGAUCCUGGACGAAAAGGCAGAGUGCGAAGAACAAACUGCAUUGACGGUACCGGAAAAGCAAGCCACGGCUAACUACGUG
rnacentral:rRNA from 1 species